rnacentral:rRNA from 2 species
CUCCUGGAAACGGGUGGUAAUGCCGGAUGCUCCGCCCCCUCGCAUGGGGGGUCGGGAAGGCUUUUGCGGAAUGGGAUGGGGUCGCGUCCUAUCAGCUUGUUGGCGGGGCGACGGCCCACCAAGGCUUCGACGGGUAGCCGGCCUGAGAGGGCGACCGGCCACAUUGGGACUGAGAUACGGCCCAGACUCCUACGGGAGGCAGCAGUGGGGAAUAUUGCACAAUGGGGGGAACCCUGAUGCAGCGACGCCGCGUGCGGGAUGGAGGCCUUCGGGUCGUGAACCGCUUUUGAUUGGGAGCAAGCGUGAGUGAGUGUACCUUUCGAAUAAGCACCGGCUAACUACGUGCCAGCAGCCGCGGUAAUACGUAGGGUGCAAGCGUUGUCCGGAAUCAUUGGGCGUAAAGGGCUCGUAGGCGGUUCGUCGCGUCCGGUGUGAAAGCCCAUCGCUUAACGGUGGGUCUGCGCCGGGUACGGGCGGGCUUGAGUGCGGCAGGGGAGGCUGGAAUUCCCGGUGUAACGGUGGAAUGUGUAGAUAUCGGGAAGAACACC